rnacentral:rRNA from 1 species
UACAGAGGUGGCAAGCGUUGUUCGGAAUUACUGGGCGUAAAGGGCGCGUAGGCGGUUCGUUAAGUCCUGUGUGAAAUCCCCCGGCUCAACUGGGGAACUGCACAGGAAACUAGCGGGCUUGAGUUCGGGAGAGGGAAGCGGAAUUCCAGGUGUAGCGGUGAAAUGCGUAGAUAUCUGGAGGAAGACCGGUGGCGAAGGCGGUCUGCUGGGCAGUUUCUGACACUGAUGCGCGACAGCGUGGGGAGCAAACAGG